rnacentral:ncRNA from 2 species
GACGACAUCCCUCCGACGGGUGCCCGUGGCGUAGUCGACGCGGGAGAAUAGGGAAGCCGGUGCGAAUCCGGCGCGGGGCCGCCGCUGUGAUCGGCGAGGCCCGGGACGUCGCGCCACUGCCGUUCGCGGCGGGAAGGCCGUCCGGGGCCGCGAGAGCCGAGAGCCAGAAGACCUGCCCGUCGGGACGACGAUCG